rnacentral:rRNA from 1 species
AGAGUUUGAUCAUGGCUCAGGAUUAACGUUGGUAGUACACACAUCCAAGCAAGUUGAACGGGACUGGAGCAAUCUAGUCCAGUAGCGAACGGGUGAGUAAUACUUAUCUUACUUGCCGAUUAGUGGGGUACCAUGUGGGAAACUUCAUGGGUAAUGCCGCAUAUUCUGGUUUCAACCAGGAAAGGGUUCCGCAAGGACCCGCUAGUCGAGAGGGAUAAGGCGUAUUAGCUAGUUGGUGGGGUAAUGGCCUACCAAGGUAAUGAUGCGUAGCCGGCCCGAGAGGGUGAACGGCCACAGGGGAACUGAGAUACGGUACCCACUCCUACGGGAGGCAGAAGGAGGAGACAUCCCGCAAUGGACGCAAGUCUAACGGAGUGAUACUACGUGAAGGAUGAAGGUCUAAGGAUUGUAAACUUCUUUACUUAAGGGUAUUGUUGCUUCGGCGAUUACCCUUAGGCGAAAAGUCACGACUAACUAUGUGCCAGCAGUCGCGGUAAGACAUAGGUGGCAAACGUUAUCCGGAAUUAUUGGGCGUAAAGGGUGCGUAGGUGGCUUAAUAAGUUACUGGUGGCAAAUCGGGGCCCAACCCCGUGGAAGUCAGUAAUACUAUCGAACUAGAGGGUCGGAGAGGUUAACGGAACUCCAUGUGUAGCGGUAAAAUGCUCAAAUAUAUGGAUGAACACCAAUCGGCGAAGGCAGUUAACUAUUCGAUUCCUGACGUUGAGGCACGAAAGCGUGGGGAGCAAGACGGAUUAGAUACCCUAGUAGUCC